rnacentral:rRNA from 1 species
CCUACGGGUGGCAGCAGUGGGGGAUAUUGCACAAUGGCGGGAACCCUGAUGCAGCGACGCCGCGUGAGCGAUGGCGUACUUCGGUAUGUAAAGCUCUGUCAGCAAGGAAGAAAAUGACGGUACCUGACCAAGAAGCCCCGACUAAAUACGUGCCAGCAGCCGCGGUAAUACGUAUGGGGCCAGCGUUAUCCGGAUUUCAGGGGUGUCAAGGGAGCGUAGGCGGCAGGGCAAGCCUGAUGUGAAAGCCCGGGGCUCAACCCCGGGACUGCAUUGGGAACUGGCCUGCUGGAGGGCCGGAGGGGUAGGCGGAAUUACUAGUGUAGAGGUGAAAUGCGUAGAUAUUAGGAGGAACACCAGUGGCGAAGGCGGCCUGCUGGACGGUGACUGACGCUGAGGCUCGAAAGCGUGGGGAGCAAACAGGAUUAGAUACCCCUGUAGUC